GAGAGUGUUCAAACAUCCACCAUAGAUUGAGUGGAAAGUGGAAAAAACUCAGAAAACUCUUCCAAAGGCUAAUCAUACUUAGAUGGAGAGGAAAGACUAUGGUGGGUCUGGACAUUACAGGACCACAAACCGGAUAUGCUUUUCUUUUUCAUUCCCACCUUUGGGUGUGUUUGUGUCGUUAGUUCUUCCUUGUGCUACACCACGACUAUUUGAAUGUUCUUGUUUGCUUGCUACUUAACCAUACAGGGUGGCAGUCAUUGAAGGUACCUGCUGCCAACUGAGCAAAUAGCCCAGGACAGACAGCAAUGCUCUAUCGACUCUUGCGAUGCCAUUUCUCCAUCGCUUCAGUGUCACUUUGGACACCUCGCCUUUGACUUCCAGGUUCAGCCUGAUGAGUAAAACAGAAGUGUGUUGGCUUAAGAAGCGUCUGUGCUCAUCAGAAGCGGGUGAGUCACUGUCUUCUAGGCUAGCGUCAGUGUUCACUCAGUACAGCCUUGGCUCCAGCCGUAGCCUCUGCCCCAGAUCGUGGUUAAAAUGCUGACACUUUCCCCAUUGCUGUCUUUUCACAAUCUCCAGACUAUUUCAUGUCCCAGAGGUCAGGACAUUGAGAGUCAUUACUCACCCCCAGUGCAUUCCCAUUUCUGGCCCAAAGACCUACGGGAACUUCCCGUUUUAAGUUCUCCUGAGCGUUUUUGAAACUACAAACUAAAGAGAACUCAAGGACAGUUUCAGGUGCCACAUCUUCUCCAACAUUGAAAAAUUCCAGGAGUUUCGCCGGGGGCGCUGCUGCCUUUUCACUCUUCUGGCUGGAACUCAGAACGAAACUCUUGGCCGUCCCAGCUGGGAAGUGCAUUUUCUGGCUACUUUGGGGGUCUUUUGAGGACUCUUUGGGGGGAAGAAAAAUUACAUUCUCUAGCCCCUGUUUGGGGGGUUUACAAAGCUUCAUGAGCCUGUGCUCUUUGCUGAGUUUGUUGCCAGCUCUGGGGCAGGGCUUUCCAGGUGACGCUAGGGGUAAAGAGCUUGCCUGCCAAUGCCGGAGAAGUAAGAGACACAGGUUUGAUCCCUGAGCUGGGAAGAUCUCCUGGAGAAGGAAAUGGCAACCCACUCCAGUAUUCCUACCUGGAAAAACCCACAGAGAGAGGAGCCUGGCAGGCUACAGUCCAAAGGGUCGAAAAGAGUCAGACACCACUGAAGCAAUUUAGCACUCCCUGGGCAGGAAGCAGAGUGUCCCAGCUCCUAAACUGGAGAAUUUGACUUGCCAGAAUUUAAUGAUUUGGGCUGGAGCAAUCCUGCUUUUGCCAGUACAGAUGUUUGGGAAACUCACCAGUCUUGUCUGUAUUCCUUCUGUGGGAAAGAAUCCUCACUGCCUCUUCCUGCCUGCAGGAGAGAGGCCACCCACCUGCAAUAUUCUUCCAUCCAGACCUGUGGCUGGAGGAGCAGUGGGCAGAGUAUGGUCAGACUUCUGGGACAGAGAGGCAAACCCACUUGAUCCUUUGAAAGGGACCAGGAACCCACUUGAGAGGUUCAUAGGCUUUGAUGUUUGGGAGCUUGGGAGGGACCACAAGGAUGCUGGCAGCUGGAAGAUCUGCCUUGAGCCGCCCAGCCUCAGAUGCCCCUGGACCACAAAUGGGACUGAGCCCUCUCCAUUGUGAACAAUGAGGCCCCUCACCAGGGUGUCAGCCUGGGAACCUGACCUGGUGCUGGACGGGUCUCGCCCUUGUAAGCACCCGGAUUGGAGGCUAGGAUUCUUCUGAAGCAUUCCCACUGGUUUCAUUUAAAAUAUAUAUUUCAUUUAAUUAUAUGCAUUUGUUUCUCUUACUACAAAAUAAUACAUAUGUAUACUAAAUUUUUAAAAAAUUACUGGAAAGCAAAAAGAAAGCAAAUGGUAUCCUAGUUCAGGCAGAAUGACUACUAUUCAUUCAAUAGCUCUUUCCAGAUAUCUAGAUCUUGAUAUAAAGCCAUUAUUUUAUUUAUUUAUAUAUUUAUAGGGUAUAAAGUAGUGAGAGAAGCAUAAUUUUCUUUGUCAAGAAGCGAAGGGACUAACAGAUGAGUCAGGUAAUGAAUAAAUGGACAGACAAAUACCUGAUUACAAAAUGCUGAACUUGAUGAAGGAACAUAGCAUUUGAUAGGAAAUAACAGCAGGUGCUUCCCAGGGCUUCCCAGGUGGAGCUAGUGGUAAAGAACUUGCCUGCCAAGGCAAGAGACAUAAUAGAUGGGGGUUCAAUCCCUGGGUCAUGAAGAUCCCCUGGAGAAGGAAAUGGCAACCCACUCCAGUAUUCUUGCCUGGAAAAGAGGAGCCUGGUGGGCUACAGUCCAUGGAGUCUCCAAGAGUUGGACACAACUGAGGUGAUUUAUCGACUUAGCUUGCACAACAGCAGGUGAUAUGACAGGGCUGAUGUCACGGAGGAAGGACAUUUAGGCAGAACCGGGAAGGACUAGAACAGAAGGAGCCGGCGGUCUCCAGGAAUGCAGGCUGAGAUAGGCCCAAAGACCCUAAGACUCGCAGACCUUGGCGGGUAUCUUACAGAACAUUCCUCUGAUGGGAUUUGUCUGAUAUUUUUUCUCAUGGUUGCCUGGGGCCAUGGGUUUUUGAAAGGAGACCAGAGAAGUAAAUAUCAUCCUCCUCACAUCAUAUCAAGGGCAGAUGGUGUCAACGUAACGACUGCUGUUAUGCUCACUUUGGUCACCGGCCUGAUGCCCUGUCAAGUUACCAUGACCCCUUUCCACGUUGUCAUCUUUGGAAGGCAGCCACUGUCACUGCCCACACCUCAGGAGCAGCAGUCAGGCUUACCCUCUUGAAAAUGAAGACUCUACAUAUGUUACUUGGAAUUCUUCUCCAUGAGAGAUUUGACUCUUCUCUCCCUUUACAUUCAAGUGUUUAUAUCAGCCGGGACUCGUGUUAUUUACACUUUGUAUGCAUUUUUAAAAUCUUUUAAAAAUGUACAUGUUUUAAACCUAUACAUUUAGGUUACUCCUUUUUGUUGUAUGGUAAAGAAUAUUAUAAUGAACAAAUGUGUGUUCAAGUUUUUGCUGAUCUCUUCGCUCAUUUAUUGAGUGUAUAUUUCUAGACAUAGAAGCUUGGAGCAGAAGAUAUGAACACUGUAAUGUCUCUUGCUAUGUUCUGCCAAGUUGCUUUCUAGGUAUAUUACUCAGCAUCUACUUCUAUCUGAAGAUGAUGACAGUCCCUGUCUCAACAUGUCUUGACCUCCAUGUACAGAAAUCCGAACUGGUCUCCUUAAGAAUGAACGAGCACCUGGAGAGCGGAAGACAGACAUGUGAGGCUACCAUGGAGGAAUCAUGGCAAGCGAUCCAUCAGAUGAUUGGGGCCUCAUGAGUGACUCCAGGUGAGACCAGCAGAAGACCUAGCUGAGCCCAGCUCAAGUUGCCAACCAGAGAACCAUGAAUAACCCACCAAGUUCUGAUAUUUGGUUACACAGCAAUGGACAACUGAUACAAUAAUGGGAAUCUCAACGUUAGGAAGAUCACAGAUGAUGCCAGUACAGAAGAAAUCAUCAAUAGAAACAUAACAACCCUGCCUCCAUUCACUCAGAACUCCCAGUGAUGCCACAGAGCAGCUACUAAUAUUCUGUUUGAAUAUAUGGAUUUAUUUUUCCACAAAGCUGAAUGGAAAUAAUGUCCUUAAUCAGUCCAGUUUUUUUUCUGUUAUAUUUUGUCCUUCUAUUUUUGUCUCUUCUCUUCUUUUUAGUUUCUCUUGUGAGGAUAGUCUUGUUAGAUAUUUUAACUCCGCAUAAAUUCCUCUCUCUACUGGGGGUAACACCAGAAUGUUGAAAUUUCCUUUGCUUUGUGGAUGCUCAUGGUUCCUCCACAUGUAGCUUCAAUUACUUCUUCUUUUCAAUUUCUUGAAGUUUGCACUUAAUUCAGAAAGAAGAAUCUUCUUUAGAUUUCUUAAAGUUUUCCUUGAUUUCUCCCCCAAAUUAAAUAUGUAAUCUUUGCAUUACAAUUAUCUGAAAUUAUCAAUAUUAUUUAUAUAAAUCUCUGUAUAGAACCCUGUCUCCUAUAUGACAGCAACUGGUAAUAUGAAAAAAAAUUCAGAAUUGCACGAUAGGGAAAGCUGUUAGCUAUAAAACACUUGCUCACCAAUGGUUCUUUAAAUUUCAUGAAUAGAAUGCAUUUCUUAUUAAAGAUUCAUCUUUUCUAUCUGAAAAGUCAUAUCUUUCAGUCCAAACUUUAACAUCAUUGUGGUUUCUUCUGUGACAUUCCUGCAUUUAAUCACUAAAUAUUCAAUAUAAGUUUUCUGUAUACUUGGCUGGGGCUUAGAGAUAUAAAGAUGAAUACAGAACUCUGCCUUCAAGAUAGAAAGCAUGUUGAUAGAUAAUAAUACUACUUCAACAAGCUAAGUGUCAUAAUAGACACACACACGGCGUUCCAGGAAUUCAGAGGUCUGUGUGUGUGUUUGGGGCCAGUUGUGAAUAAGAAAAGGUCUGAAGAAGGAGAUACUGGAUUAGGUUGUAGGUUACAAAUAGGAGUAAGUCAUGAGAUGCGUACAGGGUGUGAAUGGGUUGCUGAAGUCGGGGCCGCAAGCUGAGACGCAGUUAUGGGAGGAACACACAGUGUGAAGUAGGGCAUGAUGAGGAGGCAGGUGCACAGAGCCUGGCCACUGGUCAGAGACUCUAGAGAACCAGGUUGAGGAAGUGACUUCAUUGUGCAAAGCAGAGAGGGCCACUGGAGAAGUUCAAGUAAGAUAUAAUGGUGGGUUUGGAAGGAAAGGAGACCAUCAGAGCCCAUUACCCUUGCAUAUCUGAUAGAGAACAAAGAACUGAAAUAGGAUAGUGCCAGCUUUGCUGUUGUUAUGAGGCAAAGACUUUACUAACUUUGUUGCAAACUUUAUUCCCAGGCUUCUUUAGCCUAGUUGGCUGUAAAGAAUAAAUUUUAUAAACGGAAGGUGAAAAGAAGUGCAAUGUCCAAGGGGCAGAAAUGAAAAGAAGAGAUAAAUGAAGAAAUGGUUAGCAAGUUGAGCUGGGAGAACUUGCAGUCGACUGGCUGUGGAGAGAACAGCAUUCACCGGUUUGUUGUGGGAAGAACACGGUCAGGGACUGGAAGGAACAUACGGAUGGUUUGAUCACUGGAGGCCAUGAAGGAUAAACUCAAAUACAGAUACCCAGUCUACUGGGGGCCCUGAGCGGAGAUGUGCUGGAGGAUGGAGGUGUGUCAUUUUGUGCUUCAAGUUGCAAUGAAUGGAAUCUGCACUUCUGGAUUCACGGGGCCAAAAACUGAACUCUUCUAUGUAAGAGAGGGGAGAGGAUUCUGAGGUCUCUUUUGGGAAGGAGCAAGAUGCCAAACUAGGAGGAGGAAAAUAAGAUCAAGAGAGGUGGCCAUGGCAGGAGGGACAGGGAGAUGAGAAAAGUUCUCAAAGCUAUAGUGUCUGGAAAGGACUUCUGGUUUAGUGUGAGAUACAUGGUGCAUCCCGUGUCUUCUGAGAUUCUUCCCCAAAAGUCAGGAAAUUCUUCAUCAGUCACUAAUGCUUUUGAGGGAGUAGGUUUUUGCUUCUUUAAACAUAGGAUCCUUGCUACCUGGCUAUUUCUUAUCUGAGUCCCCCCAGUUACCAGUUCUUUUAUUUUCCACUAUGGUUUAUCUCAGGAUAUUGAAUAUAGUUCCCUGUGCUAUACAGUAGGACCUUAUUGUUUAUCCAUCUUAUAUAUAAUAGUUUGCAUCUGCUAACCCCAAACUCUUAA